UUUCAACAGGUACGCGGUAUAAAAAUUUAACAAGAUAUCUGCCAUGUCUUGUCACGCUGGCGCUGAGAUUCGGGGUGUACUGAACAUUCAGGGUCCACUCCAGGUUGGACGAGCAAGAGAGUGACCACUGACAGCCUGUGACGCCUGAUGCCUUUUAUGACCUCACUUUCCAACACAGCGUCACUUCUGCCAGAUUCCACCGCCUCGAACCGAAUCACCGAGUCCAGCCCCAACUCCACUGCACCCCUUGAAGUGGGUCACAGAGCUGGAGAUACAACGGGCACAGGACUGAAUCUCCAGUGGUUCAGAAAACAAACACGCAAAGAAUGAACCAUCAGGCAACAUGAGGGAUCGGCACGCGAUGUAAGAGGACCAAUGAGACGCAAGGCGUCUAGCUGAUAAAAAGCUAGACGGUGACUUUAUGAGACUUCUAAGUCCAGGAUUCUUUGAUGCUGCCCGGAGAAGGCCAAAGAAGCUGGCCUAAGAAAUGAGAGGCCAUGAACUGAGCUGAGAAGCCAGCAGCCAGAGGCCGUCGGACCUUCCAGCGCAGCCCGCAGCUGUGAGAGCCAGCAGAGGCGCCACCAGCCAAAUCAACUGUAAAAGAAAUCCAUCAGUGCUGUUUCAGCAACCAUUUGGGGAAUGGAUGUGAAGAUUCAGGGAGGUGAUAACAUAACCUGGCAUGCAGUAAGUGCCUAAUAAGUGCUGGUCAUAGCUGACCAUACAUUUCUGCUCUUGUCACCUUUGCCGAUCACUCCUAGGUGGAGGGGCACUAGGAGGGCUUACGGUGGGAAGCAAGCAAUGAACUGUGAUAAACACACAGGGAAUUUACUAGAGAAUAAUGGGAAAUUCUCAGGAACACCAAGGGCUGGAAAACCUAAGAAAACAGUUCAGAUU